ACACAUGCAAGUCGAGGGGCAUCGGGAUUGAAGCUUGCUUCAAUUGCCGGCGACCGGCGCACGGGUGCGUAACGCGUAUGUAACCUACCUAUAACAGGGGCAUAACACUGAGAAAUUGGUACUAAUUCCCCAUAAUAUUCGGAGAGGCAUCUCUCCGGGUUGAAAACUCCGGUGGUUAUAGAUGGACAUGCGUUGUAUUAGCUAGUUGGUGAGGUAACGGCUCACCAAGGCAACGAUACAUAGGGGGACUGAGAGGUUAACCCCCCACACUGGUACUGAGACACGGACCAGACUCCUACGGGAGGCAGCAGUGAGGAAUAUUGGUCAAUGGACGCAAGUCUGAACCAGCCAUGCCGCGUGCAGGAAGACGGCUCUAUGAGUUGUAAACUGCUUUUGUACGAGGGUAAACUCACCUACGUGUAGGUGACUGAAAGUAUCGUACGAAUAAGGAUCGGCUAACUCCGUGCCAGCAGCCGCGGUAAUACGGAGGAUUCAAGCGUUAUCCGGAUUUAUUGGGUUUAAAGGGUGCGUAGGCGGUUUGAUAAGUUAGAGGUGAAAUCCCGGGGCUUAACUCCGGAACUGCCUCUAAUACUGUUAGACUAGAGAGUAGUUGCGGUAGGCGGAAUGUAUGGUGUAGCGGUGAAAUGCUUAGAGAUCAUACAGAACACCGAUUGCGAAGGCAGCUUACCAAACUAUAUCUGACGUUGAGGCACGAAAGCGUGGGGAGCAAACAGGAUUAGAUACCCUGGUAGUCCACGCAGUAAACGAUGAUAACUCGUUGUCGGCGAUACACAGUCGGUGACUAAGCGAAAGCGAUAAGUUAUCCACCUGGGGAGUACGUUCGCAAGAAUGAAACUCAAAGGAAUUGACGGGG
rnacentral:rRNA from 1 species